CCUCCUCUCAUUUACACCAUAGAGGACAAGGCUAGUCCAUCUCUCUGCCCCAGAGGAGAGGAUGGUUAAACCCAGGUUACUGUAUCUCUCCUCCUCUCAUUUACACCAUAGAGGACAAGGCUAGUCCAUCUCUCUGCCCCAGAGGAGAGGAUGGUUAAACCCAGGUUACUGUAUCUCUCCUCCUCUCAUUUACACCAUAGAGGACAAGGCUAGUCCAUCUCUCUGCCCCAGAGGAGAGGAUGGUUAAACCCAGGUUACUGUAUCUCUCCUCCUCUCAUUUACACCAUAGAGGACAGGGCUAGUCCAUCUCUCUGCCCCAGAGGAGAGGAUGGUUAAACCCAGGUUACUGUAUCUCUCCUCCUCUCAUUUACACCAUAGAGGACAAGGCUAGUCCAUCUCUCUGCCCCAGAGGAGAGGAUGGUUAAACCCAGGUUACUGUAUCUCUCCUCCUCUCAUUUACACCAUAGAGGACAAGGCUAGUCCAUCUCUCUACCCCAGAGGAGAGGAUGGUUAAACCCAGGUUACUGUAUCUCUCCUCCUCUCAUUUACACCAUAGAGGACAAGGCUAGUCCAUCUCUCUGCCCCAGAGGAGAGGAUGGUUAAACCCAGGUUACUGUAUCUCUCCUCCUCUCAUUUACACCAUAGAGGACAAGGCUAGUCCAUCUCUCUGCCCCAGAGGAGAGGAUGGUUAAACCCAGGUUACUGUAUCUCUCCUCCUCUCAUUUACACCAUAGAGGACAAGGCUAGUCCAUCUCUCUGCCCCAGAGGAGAGGAUGGUUAAACCCAGGUUACUGUAUCUCUCCUCCUCUCAUUUACACCAUAGAGGACAAGGCUAGUCCAUCUCUCUGCCCCAGAGGAGAGGAUGGUUAAACCCAGGUUACUGUGUCACUGUAUCUCUCCUCCUCUCAUUUACACCAUAGAGGACAAGGCUAGUCCAUCUCUCUGCCCCAG